AACACAUUGUGGCACCUAAAUGAUACAUGAGGUUCAUAUUGUUAAAAUCAUUAUGAUAAUAAUGUUAUAUAAUACCUAUUUAAAAGUUCAAACAAAUAUUAAUCUACGACAACAGCUAUUUUAAUAAUUUUAUAUACUGACAACAAUCAGAUAUCUGGUAUGGUUGGGAUCUAAAUGUCCCAGAUCCUAUUUGUUCCUACACCAAAUAGUUGUAGCCUGAUAACCCGAGGACCCAAAACACUAAAUGCAGCCCUGUGUGUAAUUGUUUAACUUGGAUAGAAUUAGAAUUAUUCAAAAUUCAGAAAUAUUAGAAAUA